rnacentral:rRNA from 1 species
GACGAACGCUGGCGGCGUGCUUAACACAUGCGAGUCGAACGGAAAGGCCCUGCUUUUGUGGGGUGCUCGAGUGGCGAACGGGUGAGUAACGCGUGAGUAACCUGCCCUUGACUUUGGGAUAACUUCAGGAAACUGGGGCUAAUACCGGAUAGGAGCUCCUGCUGCAUGGUGGGGGUUGGAAAGUUUCGGCGGUUGGGGAUGGACUCGCGGCUUAUCAGCUUGUUGGUGGGGUAGUGGCUUACCAAGGCUUUGACGGGUAGCCGGCCUGAGAGGGUGACCGGCCACAUUGGGACUGAGAUACGGCCCAGACUCCUACGGGAGGCAGCAGUGGGGAAUAUUGUACAAUGGGCGGAAGCCUGAUGCAGCAACGCCGCGUGCGGGAUGACGGCCUUCGGGUUGUAAACCGCUUUCGCCUGUGACGAAGCGUGAGUGACGGUAAUGGGUAAAGAAGCACCGGCUAACUACGUG